GAAUUUAACUCUUUCAUGCUUACUUUAACUAGUUAUUUUGGUUUUCUACUGGCUGCUUUAACUAUAACCCCAGCUCUAUUUAUUGGCAUGACUGCAAUUUUAGAGAGACGCGAAAGUACAAGCCUGUGGGGUCGCUUCUGCAAUUGGAUAACUAGCACUGAAAAUCGUCUUUACAUCGGAUGGUUCGGUGUUUUGAUGAUCCCUACCUUAUUGAACUCGGCUCAAUCUUUUUUUUUCUAA
rnacentral:rRNA from 1 species